CCCAUACGUAUUAAUCAGCUUUAAAUACUUACGUUUUUUGCGAGAAUUAAAUACUUACGUUUUAUAAUAGACGCGUACGCCACGGCGUAUUUUUUUUAAUAUACUAGACUAAUUAGACAGCCGAGUCUGUAAUUCUUCCAUGGUAUUUGCAACAACAGAAAGAAAAAAAUCUGUGAUAAAUUGUGCAAUGGAGUCAUAGGAGAUUUGAUGUGGCCGGAUUUACCUUCCUUUAGAAGCAUAUAAAAAUUCAAGAAAAUGAACCAGCGAUGGCAUGAACAACGGGAAUUAAAACGAUAGUAGAGAAAAAAAGUAAAGAAAAACAAUGACGACGCUCUACAUUCUCACAGCCUCCAAAAACCGCAGCGCGGAAAUCGAAGGGCUCGCAUGACGUAUCACGCAAGGAAAAUGGAAAACGGUGGGCCCCAUAUAUCAGUGAGCCAGGUUAAGGAGUCAUACGUUGAACGAUCCGCGUCGAUACGCAACCUUCUAGAUCAGCACAAUCCAUCUAUAUCAAGCAAGGCCCAAACGUAUUAAUCAGCUUUAAAUACUUACGGUUUUGCAAGAAUUAAAUACUUACUUUUUAUAAUAGACGUGUACGCUACGGCGUAUUUUUGUUUUAAUAUACUAGACUAACUAGACAGCCGAGUCUGUAAUUCUUCCAUGGUAUUUGCAACAACAGAAGAAAAAAAAUCUGUGAUACAUUGUGCAAUGGAGUCGUAGAAUUUUAUGUGGCCGGAUUUACCUUCCUUUAGAAGCAUAUAAAAAUUCAUGAAAAUGUACACGCAAAAAAAUCAUGAAAAUGAACCAGCCAUGACAUGAACAAUUGGGAAUUAAAACGAUAGAGAAAAAAGUAAAGAAAAACAAUCUACAUUAAUUCUCACAGCGUCCAAGAACUGCAGCACGGAAAUCGAGGAGCUCGCAUGACGUAUCACGCGAGGAAAACGGAAAACGGAAAACGGAAAACUGUGGGCCCAGGCCAGGAGUACUGAUCCGAGGAGGAUCCGCUGAAAAGGAAAUCCGCGACAGACGGGAGAGAGAUAUACAUAUACGGCACGGAAAGGCAACCCCGAGUACUGAUUGACAGACACUCGUCCAACUCUGACUGAUUUCAUGCCACUUGUUGAUCGUAUCGAACGGCAUAUGUCUAACUCCUCUGCUCUUCUGUCCUAUGGUGGCCGGG
rnacentral:lncRNA from 1 species